rnacentral:rRNA from 1 species
GCCCCAGACUCCUACGGGAGGCAGCAGUGGGGAAUAUUGCACAAUGGGGGAAACCCUGAUGCAGCGACGCCGCGUGAGUGAAGAAGUAUUUCGGUAUGUAAAGCUCUAUCAGCAGGGAAGAAAAUGACGGUACCUGACUAAGAAGCCCCGGCUAACUACGUGCCAGCAGCCGCGGUAAUACGUAGGGGGCAAGCGUUAUCCGGAUUUACUGGGUGUAAAGGGAGCGUAGACGGCAUGGCAAGUCAGAUGUGAAAGCCCGGGGCUCAACCCCGGGACUGCAUUUGAAACUGUCAGGCUGGAGUGCAGGAGAGGUAAGUGGAAUUCCUAGUGUAGCGGUGAAAUGCGUAGAUAUCAGGAGGAACACCGGCGGCGAAGGCGGCCUGCUGGACCGUAACUGACGUUGAGGCUCGAAAGCGUGGGGAGCAAACAGGAUUAGAUACCCGAGUA